UACAAACUAACAACUAAAAACUCCUUGGAGCUUUUGUGAAAGUGCACGAGCGGCGGACGGCAGAGUAACACGUAGGAACGUACCCCAAACAGAGGGAUAAGCACCGGAAACGGUGUCUAAUACCGCAUAAUAUCUUCGGAUUAAAGCUUCGGCGGUUUGGGAGCGGCCUGCGUAUGAUUAGCUAGUUGGUAAGGUAAUGGCUUACCAAGGCGACGAUCAUUAGCUGGUAUGAGAGGAUGAUCAGCCUGACUGGAACUGAGAACGGUCCAGACUCCUACGGGAGGCAGCAGUAGGGAAUUUUCCGCAAUGGGCGAAAGCCUGACGGAGCAACACCGCGUGCAGGAGGAAGGCCUUCGGGUUGUAAACUGC
rnacentral:rRNA from 1 species